CUUCUCAGCAAAAUGUGAGGUUCGUUCAUUAUUUUGAAUUAAUGGAUUGAAUAGUGACUUGGUUUAAGUAGCCUCCAUCUUUAUGUAUUUUAAUAAUAUUUGCAUUGAUUUGUUUUUCUAAAAGUAAUUUCAGUUAAAUAAACGUAUAAAUAACGCUUUUAAAAACUACAGCUCCCAUAACCCUUAGCAACAGCUUAUGGGAGCUGUACUUAAAAAAACCAAAAUUGUUGUAACAAACAAAUUAUUAUUUAGCAUUUACAAACUAGAUAUAAUUGUUUUUUAAAACAGUAUUGCAUUAGCAUAGCCGGCUAAUAGUAGCUAAUAAUUUAUAGCUUAGCAUCGAUGUGUUGACAUUAACACAGACUAACACUGAGUUACUAAAACUAGCAUUAGCCUCUCUGGAGAUUGCUGUAUUACGAGAACUAGCUUAGCAUGAACUUAUUAGAUUUACAUUGGUGUGUUAGCUUGUCGCUAGUGAUCUAUGGCUAACAGUAGCUCCAUUUGUGACGUCAGCAUUUCUUACGUUACAGCGGAAUUUAAGAAAAAUAGUAAAAAGUGAAAUUUAGGAGCAGGAAUAAUAUAAAGCAGGAUCUUAAGAUGUAAUUUGACAAUAAAUAUUAGGUUUUAAUGGGGACAUUUUUGUCCUUCUGGCUUUGAUUGGCUGUAUUUUGGAUAUACAUUUAUUAUAGGGGCUGAAUUCACAAUUUUGAUUCAAAAAGCUCACAGCCAACAUUAUUUUUUAAAAUGUAGAAUUAAACAUCCAGAAAUGUCCCUAUUGAGUUUCAGGGUACGUUAGCUUAAGGUUUAAUAAAUGUAGUAUUUCUGAUGAGUUUUAAAUGAAUUUCUAGUAGUUUUGAGAUCUGUGAAAACAUGAAGAUUACUUUAUAGAUACACCAUGGUGUUGGAUAGACUUAAAAAAGUUUUGUAGGUGAAUCACAGAGUUACGUAGGAAGUGCGGAUGUCACAAUUGCGGCAAGGAGAUGUUGGUUCACCGACGGUUGAGUAACCAAAGGUGCAACCAGCUAACAGUCAUUUUACCAACAGCCAUUAUUAUAUCAGAACACCACGACUCUAAAACGAUUUAAAGUCCUAUAAGACACAGAAACACAACAGUGUUAUUGAACCAUCAACUUCAGUGUAUUAUUUCUACGUCUCCGUGACAGAAAAAAGAGGUAACAGGACAUCCUGGUUAGUGAAUAAAAACACAAUCCGGAGACAAGCGAGUCUCUGAGCUCCUCUGACGAAACGCUCGCCAAAACACAUGAAGAAGAAAUGGAUGAAGAAGAACGGGGAGAUCCCCUUGUUCAGAAUUUACCUUUCCUCUUCCCUUCAGCAGGCUCCACCCACAUUGCUCCUGAUUGGCUGUCCAUGGUGUCCGUCAAACGUAAAGCCCUCCCUCACCCGCAGCUCCUACCUGCUACAAAGGGCUCACUCUGUCAACCACUUCCUGGUUCAAUCAGACGCCUCAUAUGGUGUGCUCUCAUUGGCCGGUUUCUGCAGAGAAGCGGGCCUCGUACAAACUCAGGGCGUGAUGGACAAACUCGUACUGCUCCCCGGUCUGGAUCAUACCUCCUCUGUACACACACACACACACACACACACACACACACACACACACACACACACACACACACACACACACACACACACACACACACACACACACACACACACACACACACACACACACACACACACACACACACACACACACACACACACACACACACACACACACACACACACACUAUGAGUAAUAUGUAAAAACAAAUAACGAAAAUAAAUGUGGGAAAUGUGCAAAAAAUUACAGAAAAAAAACAUUUACAAAAAUAGGACAAUAUGAAUAAAAUGUGAGAAAGACAUAAGGUAAACUAAAGACACACCUUUGAAUUUGGGCUUUGAAAAAGUGUGUGUGUUACCUGUCUGCUCGCAGGCGGCAGGUGACGCUCAGCACGUCGACGACGCCCUCCAUCUGCAGCUGUCGACAGCCUAUCGUCGUGGCAAUGAAGCAUCCUGUCCGUCCGAUCCCGGCACUUGCACGAUGACCGGGCCCAUGGCGGCCGCCGCCCGCCGGUCCGCCUCCACCUCCCCCAUCAGCUGCAGCAGCGGCAGCGUGGAGUCGGGGGUCUUGUGGUCGGGCCACGACGUGUACCAGUAAUGCUGCAGCACGCGGGUCUGAUUCCCACACUGCACACACACCAACACAGAACAUAUGAAGACUUUUUCUCUGCUUCAACAACAGAACCUUUUGGUGAUCAUCACGAUGACCGGCGCCUCCUCCUGCCACGCCAUCAGCCAGAAGUCGUUCACCGUGUUCACCAUGGGGCCCUGCGUGGCGAUGAACGCCUUCUCGUCGCCUAGGUAACCCUGAGGACGGGAGCCAAUCACAGCACAGCGUCAGAGGUUUAAAUACAGGGAAGCAUAAUGUAGAGAAAUCAUUCAUCACAGCAGGGGAUCUAAAACACACAUUAUCAGUGCCAUGUUUAUUUAUAAUAAUAAUAAUAAAUGCAUUUAUAGAGAACUUUGAGACACCAUAAAUGUCUGAAAAAUAUCACAACAAAUUGUUUAAAAAAAUGUAAGAAAUACGAGUAAAAUAUCUGGAAACAGUUUGAAGAAAUAUUUU